UCGUGCUAGACGGGGAGCUAGCGGUGCCCUGAUGCCCGAUGCAAAUCAGGAUGACCCGAAAUCCGCUUAUGCGGGGUCGAAUACUUUGAUUGAGUUAGGAUGUUCAGGGGCAACAGCAGGGAAUUGAAGUACGUUGACGGUCGGGUCUUGCGAUAGUACCGUCUACAAACUCCGUCAGGUCCGGAAGGAAGCAGCGGUAAGUAGAAAGGGCUAGUCACAAGGUAGCCUGCUCUGAGUUCUUCGCCUUGCUGUUCCUGAUCUUUCUUGCGAAACAAGUUGCACGA
rnacentral:SRP_RNA from 1 species